CGCUCAGUUCUUUUUUCUGAGGGUGUUGCCCAAGCAGGAGACAGUCACAGCAGACUCAAUCUCAGUGACUGUGCCAGUCUCAGAACCAGCGCCUGUGACUCUGGAAUCUACCCAUCCGCGCUGCCUGCUAGCUGUCACCAGGUCUGAGGAUAGCCAAUGGCUGUUGUUUGGAGUGGAAGUGGACGGAGCUUCCUGUGGGCAGAGUGGUCCAGGCACGCAAGGUCUCUGCAGAAUGGAAGAUGCAAGAUGUGGGCUAAGGGCCACAUUUGUAUUAAUGUCCGUGCCCCAGUUAUGAGAGGUGGAUUUUCCUCAGGGUACCGGGAAAGGAAAACCAGAAUCCUGUAGCAGCAAAUCUAAGAACAGCAAACAGAUGACUUAAAGGGGUGAAACUGCAAUUGAGCGGAAGCAACAGAUGAACAAAGCCCACAUUCAAAUCUGCAGCUCAUUAAAAUAACGUUAAAAUAGAGUAAAAUCUCAAUAGUAGGUGAAUUGUG